GAAAAGAAACUAACAAGGAUUCCCCCAGUAACGGCGAGUGAAGCGGGAAGAGCUCAAGCUUAAAAUCUCCAUACUUGUAUGGCGAAUUGUAGUCUAUUGAGGCUGUUGUCAGCAUCGCGAUUGGGGACAAGUCCCUUGGAAAAGGGCAGCAUAGAGGGUGAUACUCCCGUCUCUGCUCCAAUCUGCGGUGUGUACGAUACGCUUUCUUUGAGUCGAGUUGUUUGGGAAUACAGCUCAAAGUAGGUGGUAAAUUCCAUCUAAAGCUAAAUAUUGGUGCGAGACCGAUAGCGAACAAGUACCGUGAGGGAAAGAUGAAAAGAACUUUGAAAAGAGAGUUAAAGAGUACCUGAAACUGUUGAAAGGGAACCGUAUCGUUUCCAGUGUUGUAUCCUAUGCAUAUUUCAUUCGCGGAGUAAUUUGCGGGUGCCCUGUGCAUGGGUGUGACGUCAGGGUCAGUUUGUAUGCUGCGGGAGAUGGUCAGUGAGGAGGUGCGUCACUUCGGUGAAAGUUAUAUCUCGCUGUCUAGUAGCCGUGGUUGAGACUGAGGUGCCUACAACAUGCCUUAAGGUUCCGUGUUGUUCUCGUGUUGGUGACUGCUUUGAUAGCUUGCUAUGUCUGUGGUUUAUCAGUGCGAUUGAUGAUGCGGAUAACUUUUGCUGUUCGGGA
rnacentral:rRNA from 1 species